rnacentral:rRNA from 1 species
GUCCACGCCGUAACGAUGAGAACUAGAUGUUGGAGGGGAACCCUUCAGUAUCGAAGCUAACGCGAUAAGUUCUCCGCCUGGGAAGUACAGUCGCAAGACUGAAACUCAAAGAAUUGACGGGGCCCGCACAAGCGGUGGAGCAUGUGGUUUAAUUCGAUGCAACGCGAAGAACCUUACCUACCCUUGACAUCCUGCGAAUCCCGAUGAGAGUUGGGAGUGCCGCAAGGAGCGCAGAGACAGGUGCUGCAUGGCUGUCGU